rnacentral:rRNA from 1 species
AGUGAACGCUGGCGGUAGGCCUAACACAUGCAAGUCGAACGGCAGCACAGUAAGAGCUUGCUCUUACGGGUGGCGAGUGGCGGACGGGUGAGGAAUACAUCGGAAUCUACUUUUUCGUGGGGGAUAACGUAGGGAAACUUACGCUAAUACCGCAUACGACCUUCGGGGGAAAGCAGGGGAUCUUCGGACCUUGCGCGAUUGAAUGAGCCGAUGUCGGAUUAGCUAGUUGGCGGGGUAAAGGCCCACCAAGGGGACGAUCCGUAGCUGGUCUGAGAGGCUGAUCAGCCACACUGGAACUGAGACACGGUCCAGACUCCUACGGGAGGCAGCAGUGGGGAAUAUUGGACAAUGGGCGCAAGCCUGAUCCAGCCAUACCGCGUGGGUGAAGAAGGCCUUCGGGUUGUAAAGCCCUUUUGUUGGGAAAGAAAAGCAGCAGGUUAAUACCCCGCUGUUCUGACGGUACCCAAAGAAUAAGCACCGGCUAACUUCGUG